AACCUAGCACACCUGCGGUGUGUACCUGCGGAGGGAUCAUUACAGAGUUGCAAAACUCCCUAAACCAUUGUGAACGUUACCUAAACCGUUGCUUCGGCGGGCGGCGCGCCCUCGCGCGCGCCCCUGGGCCCCACCGCGGGCGCCCGCCGGAGGUCACCAAACUCUUGAUAUUAAUUGGCCUCUCUGAGUCUUCUGUACUGAAUAAGUCAAAACUUUCAGCAAUGGAUCUCAGAUCGGAAG
rnacentral:misc_RNA from 1 species